rnacentral:rRNA from 1 species
CCUAUGGGUUGUAAACUGCUUUUUUACGGAAGAAACCUUGGUACGUGUACCAACUUGACGGGACUGUAAGAAUAAGCACCGGCUAACUCCAUGCCAGCAGCCGCGGUAAU